CACAACCACAAGUCCCCUUCCGCUCUGCACGCGCGCACACUCCAUCUAACCUGAAGGUCAAGGUGGAUCAGCGCGAGGGUCAACAGCAACUCCUGCAAGUCUGACAGUCCAGGAGGAGGAGGAGGAGGAGAAGGAGGAGGAGGAGGAGGAGGAGAAGAAGUAGGCUUAGAACUGGAGAAAAGAGCGAGAAAGAUGGAGGGAGGGGUGGGCUGACACCGCCCCCCCGCUGGAAACCUUGAACCUGCUCUCUCCUUCGGGCCUCCUAAUCGCGCUCUCGAGUCGGAGCUCGUGCGCGUUCUGCGCGCGCUCCCAGCGCGGGUGCUCAGCACGAGAGCUGUGUUCUGUUCCCUCCGCGCGGAGGACAGGUCUGUUUGGGACAUACUGACGGAAGGAGGCCCCCCCCAGCUUGCGCGCUCGGGUCUCCGGACCGUGGAUUGGACCGGAGUCGAUUCGGUUUUGGACCGGCUCGGAGGGGAAGUAAAAGUUGACCGGCCAGGAAACCCACCACCACCUCCCCAAAAUGCAACAAUCAAGGUGAACAAUGUAGAUGCUGCCUAAUCAGUGUGUGCCACAGAGCCCCCAACAACAGCUGAAGGAGCGCCAUGCCCCAUGAAUACCAAAGAGGCGGGCACGAGCAACCAGAUCUGAGCCGCCGCCGCCGCCGCCGUCACAAAACAGGCAGACAGUUUUAUGGGAGUCUGUCUGACGGACCCCGCAGAUGAAGCCCCGACUCUCGCAGCCAUUAAAUCAGCUCCCGGACACUGGCGGGGAUUUGGACUCAAAGUCCCAGAGUUCUGAGGGAGCAGCAUCUGGACUGAUGUAGAUCUGAGCAUCAUAUCAGACCCCCCAAGGGUUUAUCUUUUGGUUUGUUAAUCCAUAGUUUAAAGAUGAAAAAGAAAAAAAAAA